GAUGAACGCUAGCGACAGGCCUAACACAUGCAAGUCGAGGGGCAGCACAAGGUAGCAAUACUGAGGUGGCGACCGGCGCACGGGUGAGUAACGCGUAUGCAACCUGCCUGUAACAGGGGAAUAGCCUCUUGAAAGAGAGAUUAAUGCCGCAUAAUACGAUAUUCGGGCAUCCGGGUAUUUUUAAACAUUUAUGGGUUACAGAUGGGCAUGCGUUUCAUUAGGUAGUUGGUGAGGUAACGGCUCACCAAGCCGACGAUGAAUAGGGGUUCUGAGAGGAAGGUCCCCCACACUGGUACUGAGACACGGACCAGACUCCUACGGGAGGCAGCAGUGAGGAAUAUUGGUCAAUGGACGCAAGUCUGAACCAGCCAAGUCGCGUGAAGGAUGAAGGUAUUAUGUAUUGUAAACUUCUUUUGUCAGGGAAUAAUGGGUGUCACGUGUGACGCAGAGGAAUGUACCUGACGAAUAAGCAUCGGCUAACUCCGUGCCAGCAGCCGCGGUAAUACGGAGGAUGCGAGCGUUAUCCGGAUUUAUUGGGUUUAAAGGGUGCGUAGGCGGUUUGUUAAGUCAGUGGUGAAAGUUUGCGGCUCAACCGUAAAAUUGCCAUUGAAACUGGCGAACUUGAGUACAGUAGAGGUAGGCGGAAUUCGUGGUGUAGCGGUGAAAUGCUUAGAUAUCACGAAGAACUCCGAUUG
rnacentral:rRNA from 1 species